UAAAACACUCCAUAACAUUUAUUUCUCCAAGUAAAACAGCCCAUACAGUUCUCUCCUCAUCUCGUUCGAUACCUCCACCAGCUCUCAUCUGGUUCGAUCCCCACCAGGCUCAUCCAAAUGCGUCAUUUCUCCUGAUUUGCUGCUGGCGAAGGAAGAUGUCGUUGGUACCAGCAGGAAACUAAUUCCUAGCCUAUUCUCUAGCAUGUGGAUCGAGUCUACCGGCGCGGCCACGGGGAGGGCAAGGGAGAACGUGGCGUGCUACUCAACCUCGUCAUGGCCGGCAGCGAGCUGUCAUAGCUGAGGUGCUGGAUGUGGGUGGAUGCGUUGAUGGAGCUUACGGAGAAGGCUGCACCAAUUUGUGAAUUUCCCAUGCGAACACAUGCAACGGAGAAUGGUUGGAUCUAAAGGCACUAUGGAUGGCACCGUGGCUAUGGUCCAUGAGAUCUAUGGGGUAAUGUAGGCAAGUCUUACACCGCGGACUGCUCAGCACGGUGGUUCUCUUAUUAGCCCAGGCUGUGGACAAGAGAUAGUCAGAAUGGCGACAUCAGGCUAAUCUAGCCGUAUGUGGAACACUAGAGAGCAUGCGAUCGGCGUUUAUCAUGUUUUGCUAUUAAUAAGUUUAUGAAGCAAGUCAGAAUGGCGACACGGGGCAAAUCUAGCCUUAUAUGGAACACUGGAGAGCCUGCUGAUCAACUUGUAUCAUGUUUUGCUAUUAAGCUUAUGAAGCAAGGUAAGUUCCCGCCUAUUGUUCUUCCAUCAUACAUAUUAGGAAAACAUAAUUUAUUCAAGUUGUGAAGCAAAGCAUAGGUAAUAUGUAGAACUCUGGUUGGUAGGUGUAUAUGUGCUGAAUGUCCAGCCUUUUGACGAACGCGCUGGUAAUGGUGAACUAAUAUAUGUUCAGGUAACUCAGAAGGAUGGUUGGGCAUGACUUUGUCGAGUGUCAAGCAAAAAAGUAAGAUUGCUAAAUAACAAUUACUAAAUCUGAUGAUUCAGGGGAAAAGUGCUUUGGCGCCACUUGUUCCGACGUCAAUUGGAGCAGUUGGUUGUGGCUUCGUCGGGCGUCGAGCAUGCUUCGACAUGACUUUGUCAGACAUCGAGCAAAGUUGCGCUGCCUGCUAUAGAAUCUUCUUUUAUUAAUGGUGUGCUUAGCCGGGCAACAGAUUUGGCUAGCUUCAAUAUUGGAUGUGUGCUGGUCAUGGCCAAGAUUUGGUUCGCUUCAAAUUUUUUUUGAGAAGCUCAAAGGUUGGGCAUGACUUCGUCCGGCGCCGGCACCAAGUUGCAUGCGAAACUUUAGUUUUUCCUGGCUUCGAUCUUUGUUGGGCAUACUAUCUACUGAGUUUGAAUUUUGUGGUUGUGUUUUGGUCGCAUAGUUCAGGCUGGCUUGUACUUUCUUGGGUGUGUGCUAGUUUGGCCGGCUAGAUGUGUUUAGUUUUCCAUGGUUGUGGGAUUCUGUGUGUUGCAUCCGAGAUCUUAUUUGCAUGCACGCAUCUGUGGAAAGACACAUAUAUUUCCUUGGCUUGUGAUUGUCUUAAACACGUGUCCAGUCUAUUUGGACAUGACACAAAGCACAACAUGUAUUUCUUAUUGCAAUCCUGGUCUCAUGUCAAUGCACGCCUUUCUUUUUUCCACGUACGUUAUGCUUCUAUUAUGAUGUAACGUGACAACAUGAAAGUUCAAUAUUGUUGGUACAUAUAUUUUUACAUGUUACGUAAGAACCUUUAAAUCUCAACUAUUGUUAUUCUAAUCAAAUGGUGUAAAAAAUAUUAGCAUAUGUGGACGAACCUCGUUUGACUCUUGUUUUAAUUAUAUAAUAGAUUACAUCUAUUUUCUAAU